rnacentral:rRNA from 1 species
AGGGUUCGAUUCUGGCUCAGGACGAACGCUGGCGGUAUGCUUAACACAUGCAAGUCGAACGAGAAACCUCGAAUAGAAUCCUUCGGGAGGAAAGGAGAGGAAGAAAGUGGCGAACGGGUGAGUAACGCGUGGGCAACCUACCUCACGGAAAGGGAUAGCCUCGGGAAACCGGGAGUAAAACCAUAUAAGACCACAGCGUCGCAUGACGCAGGGGUCAAAACUCCGGUGCCGUGAGAUGGGCCCGCGUCCCAUUAGCUAGUUGGCAGGGUAAAGGCCUACCAAGGCGACGAUGGGUAGCCGGUCUGAGAGGGCGAACGGCCACAUUGGAACUGAGACACGGUCCAAACUCCUACGGGAGGCAGCAGUGGGGAAUAUUGCGCAAUGGGGGAAACCCUGAACCGCAGCAAUACCGCGUGAGCGAAGAAGGUUUUCGGAUCGUAAAGCUCUGUUAUCGGGGAAGAAGAAGUGACGGUACCCGAUGAGGAAGUCCCGGCUAACUACGUGCCAGCAGCUGC